GCAUAAGGGGAACAGUUGCUAGUCACACAAAAACGCUGAAUUACAUAAGCAUGCCAGCGGACAUCGGGGAUCCGGGGUCCAUCAUCGAGAUAUCGAGUUUAUUCGUGGGGGCGUAUGCAUGGUCCCUAUAUAAGCAUGGAGGCAACGUGUACUGUGGUGCCGGGUGCGCAACGUAAUGACGAAAAAUAGGAUGCAUCAUGCAUGGGGUAAUAACAAAAAAAAAAUCGCCAACAACCGGUGAAUUAAUCUGCCUUUUAUUUGUUUGAGAUUAAAAAAAGAAAAGAAAACUAAACGACAACAAUAAUAAUCC
rnacentral:lncRNA from 1 species